rnacentral:rRNA from 1 species
GACGUAGGGCGCAAGCGUUUGUUCGGAUUCACUGGGCGUAAAGGGUGCGUAGGUGGCGAGGUAAGUCGGAUGUGAAAGCUCGGAGCUCAACUCCGAAAUGGCAUUGGAAACUACCUUGCUCGAGGGUUGGAGGGGGGACUGGAAUGCUUGGUGUAGCAGUGAAAUGCGUAGAUAUCAAGCGGAACACCAGUGGCGAAGGCGAGUCCCUGGACAACUCCUGACACUGAGGCACGAAAGCUAGGGGAGCAAACAGG